GAUUCUGGCUCAGGAUGAACGCUAGCGGCAGGCUAACACAUGCAAGUCGAGGGGCAACGCGAGUAGCAAUACUUGGCGGCGACCGGCGCAAGGGUGCGUAACGCGUGAGCAACAUGCCCGUAUCAGGGGGAUAAUCCAGGGAAACUUGGUCUAAUACCCCAUAGUAAUUUUGUAAGGCAUCUUAUAAGAUUUAAAGCUUUGGUGGAUACGGAUUGGCUCGCGUGACAUUAGCUGGAUGGUAAGGUAACGGCUUACCAUGGCUAUGAUGUCUAGGGGUUCUGAGAGGAAGGUCCCCCACACUGGAACUGAGACACGGUCCAGACUCCUACGGGAGGCAGCAGUGAGGAAUAUUGGACAAUGGAUGGAAAUCUGAUCCAGCCAUGCCGCCGUGAAGGAAGAAGGUCCUAUGGAUUGUAAACUUCUUUUGUAUGGGAGCAAUAAGGCCUACGAGUAGGUUGAUGCGAGUACCAUACGAAUAAGCACCGGCUAACUCCGUGCCAGCCGCGGC
rnacentral:rRNA from 1 species